rnacentral:rRNA from 1 species
AUUGAACGCUGGCGGAAUGCUUUACACAUGCAAGUCGAACGGUAGAGGGGGCAACCCCUCGAGAGUGGCGAACGGGUGAGUAAUAUAUCGGAACGUGCCCAGUCGUGGGGGAUAACGUAGCGAAAGUUACGCUAAUACCGCAUACGAUCUAAGGAUGAAAGCGGGGGAUCGCAAGACCUCGCGCGAUUGGAGCGGCCGAUAUCAGAUUAGGUAGUUGGUGGGGUAAAGGCGCACCAAGCCAACGAUCUGUAGCUGGUCUGAGAGGACGACCAGCCACACUGGAACUGAGACACGGUCCAGACUCCUACGGGAGGCAGCAGUGGGGAAUUUUGGACAAUGGACGCAAGUCUGAUCCAGCCAUUCCGCGUGCAGGAUGAAGGCCCUCGGGUUGUAAACUGCUUUUGUACGGAACGAAAAGGUCUCUCUUAAUACGGGGGACUCAUGACGGUACCGUAAGAAUAAGCACCGGCUAACUACGUGCCAGCAGCCGCCGUAAGAC